rnacentral:rRNA from 1 species
GUCUACGCCGUCGACUAGGUGCUCCACGCGCCCGACCUCCAACCCUUUGUCUACCUGACCUUAAUGUUGCUUCGGCAGGCCCGCUGAAACUCCUCCGCCUCACUUAACCGUGGGCGGGGAGGUGACUGCCGCCGGGGGUCUCACGACCCCGGGCCCGUGCCUGUCGACGGCCCAUAACCAAAACUCUUGUUUAAAAACGUGUCGUCUGAGUACUUAAUUUAAUCAAAUUAAAACUUUCAACAACGGAUCUCUUGGUUCUGGCAUCGAUGAAGAACGCAGCGAAAUGCGAUAAGUAAUGCGAAUUGCAGAAUCCGUGAGUCAUCGAAUCUUUGAACGCACAUUGCGCCCUCUGGUAUUCCGGAGGGCAUGCCUGUUCGAGCGUCAUUAUCACCCCUCAAGCCCGGCUUGUUGUUGGACGCGGCGGCCCCUCCGUUUAGUUACGGUUCCGCCCGUCUCAAAGAUAAUGACGGCGUCUGUGAGGACUCCUGUACACUGAGCUUUCGGGCACGUACUAGGCUAGACACUCCAGACCGCCGGUCGUCGUCCCCCUCAAAAGGGACAAUUAUAACCCCACAAGGUUGACCUCGGAUCAGGUAGGAAUACCCGCUGAACUUAAGCAUAUCAAUAAGCGGAGGA